rnacentral:misc_RNA from 1 species
GAGAAUCCUUUCCAAAUUCCGUGCUUGUGAUAUUCUUGUGCCCUCCCGUACUGAUGGACUAAGGAAAAUAUGGUCUAAAGAGUUUUGAUCCUGUCGUGACGACUGUACGUUUGGAUGGCAGUGUCAAUACCAAAGAUGACAGGGAAUUGGGUUUGAUUGGAGGGAGGCGAUGAAACAUGAGUGACCUUGACGAACUAAUCCACCAG